GUGGGGGAUAUUGGGCAAUGGGCGGAAGCCUGACCCAGCCAUGCCGCGUGAGGGGAUGAGGCCCUACGGGUCGUGAACCUCUUUUAUGCGGGGACAACGCCCCCCACGAGAUGGGGGUUUGAGGGUACCGCAGGAAUAAGCGCCGGCUAACUCCGUGCCAGCAGCCGCGGUAAUACGGAGGGCGCGAGCGUUAUCCGGAUUCAUUGGGUUUAAAGGGUGCGCAGGCGGCCUGAUAAGUCAGCGGUGAAAUCCCGGGGCUCAACCCUGGAAGUGCCGUUGAUACUGUCGGGCUGGAAUGCGGUCGAGGCGGGCGGAACGUGGCGUGUAGCGGUGAAAUGCGUAGAUAUGCCACAGAACGCCGAUAGCGGAGGCAGCUCGCCAGGCCUGCAUUGACGCUCAGGCACGAAAGCGUGGGGAUCGAACAGG
rnacentral:rRNA from 1 species